UACUAGGGAUGUUAGAAAUAUCGAUAUGAUAUAUCGCAUAUCGAUAUUCUGAACGAUAUGUAUUUGGAUUGUAUUAUUAUUUAAUUAUCGAUAGUUCGAUAGCCGUGUAAAAUCUACCAGAGAUGCGCUCGUGCUUAACAAUAAAAGGGUGGGCCAAAAGCAGAAUAUGUAGAUGUCCUUCGUGUGAUCAGGAUUCAUGGGACUCACAGCUAGGCCAAAAACACCAUCGGUCCAUUGGAAAUUAACGCCACCAACAUUUAAAUCACCCUGCAGGGGAUCAAAGUAGAUGAAAUUAUGCUUUAUUCGAUUAGAAACUGAAUUAAACUGAAUACUCCAUGGCA